rnacentral:sRNA from 1 species
UUUUAACAAAUAGCGGAUGGCGCAGUAUCCUAGUUAAAUCGUCGUUUCUGAAAGCGGGCCUAAAAAUCCGCAAAAGGGCAUAUCGAUGAAGCUCCUUGUGCUUGCUUUAUACGCCCAGUAUAGGGUGGGUGCUGGGAGAUUGGUCUGCGGGCAACUUGUAAUGGCAUACGAGACCUGACCCGUUUUCCUUUGAGGCUUUCUUCUGUGGCGGAGUACAAUGUUAUAACCGGUACAGAUUAAAGAUUAAACCUAUCACGCGGUACGUUAAGAUGCUGUGGAUAGAUGUAGCCUGACUUGAGUGGUUGUGGCGGAUGGGAGUUCACAUCGGUGGAGUGAGUCGACGACGAUACCGGUUAUUGCUCUUUGAAACCAUUAUUGCAAAAGAGUCUAAGGAACGAGAACGAUUUAUUGAGGAAAUCUCCUAGGCUGAGAAUAACAGGCACAGAACGGAUUGCAGUGUGAACUAACAGGCAAUCAAGUCCCGGCUCCGGUGACGGACCGGCUGUCGGUUUAAAGGGAAACCGCUUUAUUGGCGACAAAAAGUACCGAUUGGGGAAAACCUACUUGACCGAAUGUCACAAAGUUUACGUUUUGUGCCGCCAUCUAUUAAUUUAUUCUA